CCCCCUCUAAAAAAAAAAUCAAAGGAAAAUGAUAAACCGAGUCACCACCACAAAACGUAUUUUGUGGAUUGCACAUGAAGGUUAUUGUUUUCAAAGCCUCACACAAAACCCCAUCUUCAUACAGUAAAUAUAUAAUGUUUGGAGCUUAAUCACUGAUCGGCUGCUUGAGGAAGACUUGGACACCGAUUGAGAGAGAAGAGAUUUGUGCUGGUCACAUAUGUUGUGUGUCCUAUCCAGUAGUUUUGUUUGAGCAUUUCAUUGAUCAACCAAAUUCUAUGUACAUGUAUUUUAAAUUCAGUCUUCAAAUACCUGGGCUAAAUUGUUUCCAAAUACAAUCCAUUAUAACUAAUAAUCUUUUCACAUGUGGUGUAAUAGUGUUUAAACCCAGAUUUGGUGUCUCAUAUGGGACAAGCUUCAGUUUUCUCUCCUUUAUUCUGGCUGUCCAGUUAGCGCUACCAAGCUGUCUGGAAUCCAAUUCAUGAACUCAUUCUAAUUCCAUCAGGCAAAUCUGUGUGAGUGCCAUCUUGCAAUGACAUACAAACAGUAAUUGGCUGUCAGCCCAGACAGAUGUGGGACCUGGCUCCUCUGUGUCUGCUCAGCGUUCACCUCUACCAUCUACAGGUGAGUCAAUCAUCCACAGUGGAAAAACACAGUCUCUGGUCUGAGGAUACACCACCCCGAAUGCUAAACUGUCCUUGUUAGAACCUUGGUCUAAUCAUUACAACAGGGUUGAGCUAACAACAACAGCAACACAGCAGAGACCAGCCGCCAGUUAAGCCCAGCCCUCCCGCCAGGAAUCAGCCAACAGCCAGAAGGUUGUGAAUAUUAAAAAGAGCUUAUAGAACUGUUCGAACCAGCAGGCCAAGGAAUUUCAGUAUUACUUGACUGGCGGGAGACAAGGGGAAGGACAGGAAGGAGUUAAGAGAAGGAAAGGAGGGGACAAGUGGGGACUUGAAAAGACCAAAGCUGGGGCAGAGAGUAAGAAAAGGAGCAGAGUAACUGAAGAAAGGAGAGGAGAGCUGGUGAAGGGCCAAUGUAUUCAGUCAGAAAAGCUAACAGCUACACCAACUGACUUUGGUCAAUCAUAUUUAAUGAAAUAGUAAACAGUCAGAAUUCCACAGAACACUUCAACUCGGAAAAAAAUAAUUUAAGAGAGAGACAUUUUUGUUGAGGACAAAUCUGAGCAAUGUUUUUAUUGCCGUUUCAAUAUCUUUCUAGUAAAAACGUAUUUUUGUAAGGAGAUACAGGUUCUCAUGUCCAGCAAGUAUUCUCACAGAGGCUACUUUACACGUGUUCCAUAUAGACAUCCCUCCAUCGCUCCUAUAACACAUAGCGUAGCAUACAAACAACCGAUCUUCAUAUACAGUAGUAUUUACAGUAACACAGUACAAGCAGAAAUAAUACAUCUUCCUCUGUCACAGUAACCCCGUCGACAGACGUGACCGUUUGUCAAAAAUGGAAGCCCAUUUCACAUGAGAACAUGAACAAAAAUAACAGAAUAUAAUUUUUCAAAUAAAUACAACGUAUCUAAGCAGGUGAAUAACGUCUCAAAAAUAUGACCAUUCCCAGUACACAACAAGACAAGGAGUUUCUGCAGCCAACCAGUGGCUAAACUGGAAACCAGACCAGUGGUGCAAUAUAACCAGUAAGGCCCAACGUUAGAAAUUACCCAUAUCAACCAGCAGUCAGGGCUCGUGUUUCUGUAUGUAGUGCCUUAGAUUAAAAUUCCUAGAUUGGCUAACCCCAUUCAUUACCCUUUACUGAGGAGCUUGUGUCUGUUCUAUUCAUUCUAAUUCUGUGGAGCAUUAUACUCUUAUUUUUCAGGUAGUAAUGCUUCCACCUGAAACAGAACUUACAUAAAUACUCUCAAAUAAAGACUCUGUUCUACUUCGUAGUUAUAAAGUGUUCUUCUUACCAGUGGUAAGUAUAUACAUAUAAAUAAAUCAUGCAUGAAUAAAUCUAUUACACUGAAUAACAUCUCUUCAUUUGACCGUUGAGUAACUUCAUAUGUAUGUCUGUAGAUAAAAAUAGGUAGAUUCUUAAGCUAGCAGCGUUCCAUGUCAGGUCUCCCCUUCAUCCAUACAAAUUUAAUGGUGAGGGACUCCCACAACUUCAUCUCCAAACUCUGUCAAGCCCACUGGAGAAGGGCCCUAGUCCAGCAGUUCCUCUAUAUCAUGUGUUACAGACACCAUAUCUACCAUUAGACAACAUGCCUGGGAACAGCAUCAGUGACAGUUUCAUUUAUACACAAUAAAAGUGACAGUUUCAUUUAUACACAAUUCCCUGGUUUUGGAAUGUCUUUUUGAGGAACAUACAAUGGAGAUCAUAAGGAACAUCGUGGUGGAAGUGGCAUGCCUCCUGGGAUUAUUUGUGUCAACCUCCACUCACUGAUUGUAAAUUCACACAGUAAAACUCGAUUUUAGACUUCAUUGUGACACCCCAAAGUGGAACUUUGAACUCUACUGAGACAUCACAUGCUAAAACUCAGAAUUCUAAACUCAACUGUGACAUCACAAAGUGGAAUUUGAAAUCCACUGUGACAUCGUCUAACCUGAAAACAAUUCAUUUGAUUUUCCGUUGUGACAUCAUACAGUAACACCCCUGAACUUUGAACUCCACAGUGUAGUCCCCCCAAAGCAUCAAAUGCCACACAGUGUUAGACACCCAAUCCACUGCUCCUAACAGGAAACCGUAAAAAUAGGUAAAGUAGCUAGUCUCAUAAUGAAAUUGAGCUCAGUUCACAGUUAAGAGUGUGGAUCUUUAUGCGCUGAGGAGAGUUGGUCGCAGUACAGUAGCAAAGCCUGUUCAGGAGCGUCAUCAGUUACAGGACAAACCAGUUUCAAAAGUCUUCAAAACAAAAUAAAAUCUAUAGAAUAUAAAACAUCUGACAUCAAAUAAAUCUGAAAAUAUAUACAACUUAAUCUGUAAUGCAAAAUAAAUAUAUAACUAUUUAUAUUUAAAUAAUACAUAGCAUAAUAUAAUAUAUCUCACAUCUCUGGUCAGAAGGUGGGUUUGUGGUAGGCAAACCCAUUUGUCAGUCAAACAGUCAGCCAACGUCUCCCCUCCUCCAACAGAGCCUGGUAGGCCUGACAGUCAGGUGGUCAGCCAAUCCUAGGGCUGUUUCAUUCCACAAGCUGUUUCGAAAUGAGGCACAGCUCAGGAGGCAGGAACACACAAACCGUUCCACACCUGUCAAGUCCUUGUGUAAACAGGCCCUAAAAAUCAUCUUUAACCGUCACCAUCUACUCACAACCGUAGUUUUUUUUGGAAAAUGCCAUCUUUGGAUGAAAGAAAGAACGGACAAACUAAAGUAAAAAAAGGUAUUCUAGAACUCCCCCCUGAGAAUGUUCCAUUUGUAUUCAAGAAAGGGGUUGUCAAAGGUCGUUGACAUGGAAACUGGGCAUGCGGGAAGAGAGCAGGUGUAUAUGGGUAAGGUUUUACUAUGAACACUACGCUGAAAUGCAUGAAUGUUAAAAUAUCUCUCAGCACUGCUACAUUUCUCCUUAAAAAUCAUCUGCCACCAUAGGUUUUAUAUCUAUUAUAUCCACAACCUGUGUGCAGAGAAUCAACGCAAACAGUAUUAUAAACAUGCAAUACUGGGGGGUUUACCACAGCCCCUCCUACUCACCCCUCCUUACCGCAACACACACAUACACACACACGCGCACACACACGCGCACACACACAAAAGCGAGCAUACACACACACCCUUCUGUGACAGUUAACACAGUCCUCAGCACUGCAGUGUUAUACAGUGGUGUUAGAUGGUUCUCUCUUUACACCAUCUUGAGAGGUAGGUGGAAGGACAGGUUGGGAGAACGUGGGACUGGGGUGGGAGGACGGGAGACGGGGGUGGGAGGAUGGG
ensembl:lncRNA